UACGUAGGGGGCAAGCGUUGUCCGGAAUUAUUGGGCGUAAAGAGCGCGUAGGCGGUCCGGUAAGUCGGCUGUGAAAGUCAAGGGCUCAACCCUUGAAAGCCGGCCGAUACUGUCGGACUAGAGUCCGGAAGAGGCGAGUGGAAUUCCCGGUGUAGCGGUGAAAUGCGCAGAUAUCGGGAGGAAGACCAGUGGCGAAGGCGAGUCUCUGGACAGUUACUGACGCUGAGGUACGAAGGCCAGGGAGCAAAGCGGG
rnacentral:rRNA from 1 species